GGCAGCUGUUGGUCGAAUCGAUUUCAAGCGUUGUUUGACAGAUUGUGUCUACACCAGGAGAGAAGCUUAAAGCUAAAGACUUCAUUUAGAGAAGAAGCCCAACAAACACUGGCCAAAAGAAAGGUUGAGAGAUUAAAGCAUCCUGACACAUUGUGGAUGAAACUCAAAACUUUUUUAACAAUUGUGGAAAAAUUGAGAAAGAAGUAAUUUCACAACGUCAGCCCAAAGAACAUGUCUUCAACAUCUUAGAGUCCAGUGAAGAAGAUGAAGAAGCCUUCGAAGCCAUGGCAGAAAUUGAUAAGUUUGAGGAAAGUCUUAAACAGAAGGAAAUUAUAAAACCAGAGUAGAAACUAACUUUCUGAAAGUUAUCCUUAUUUCUUGUAAAGAAAAAAAUCUUGCCACUGUACAUAACUGUAAGAAAUGUAAAUAAAGUGUUAUUUCCAUUGUA